GCCCAGGUGGCGGAAUUGGUAGACGCACUACCUUGAGGUGGUAGCGCCGAAAGGCGUGGGGGUUCGAGUCCCCCCUUGGGCACCA
rnacentral:tRNA from 1 species